rnacentral:ncRNA from 1 species
GACCCAAGUCCGAAUUGUCACCUGCGUUGGUGUGCGUUCCGCAAAGACGGAUAGGACUUGGGUUUUUU